AUCGGUCUUUUCUGGCCGAGAUUUUGGGGAUGUCACAGUUGGUAUCAGAGCAUUAGUUUAAGCGAACUAGGAAUUUGUAGGAUUUCUAGACUUAAACUUAGAAUGCUAAGUGAAGUUUUGAGAUGUGUGUCUGUUGUGUUUUAGACACGAGCACUAGUUUAUUUUAGGAAAGUUGCCUAAAAUGCUUUAUGUGCUAAAUGUUAUAUGUUGCCAUAUAUGAUAUUAUUUGUUCGGAUCUAUGGUCUGUUGCCGACCGGAUCUAGAAACCUUAUGUGUGUAGGAUUCUAAGCGUACGUCUACGAUAUUAGAACUAGCAUGUAAACGUUUCGGAGUGAUAAGGAUGAUUUGAAUAUCUAUCAUGAUUGAGGAUCUAAUUUCACCUUAUUCGGGGUGUAGAUCAAAAUGGUGAGAACAAGAAGUGGAGUUGGAAAUGCUGACGAAAACAGGAAUCAACCACCAGUGAUUGAGCCAAUACCUGUCGUAGCAGCAGCACCUGAGCCAAUAACCAUGGCUGGUGUGCAAUUGAUGAUUCAGACGAUGUUGGAUCGUCAGAUGGAUGAAACUAGACGGUUGCUUCAACAAAAUCGUGAAGAACUGUCGAUUCGUGUGGAAGAGCCUGAAUUAAAUGAAGGGCACUCGGAAGGUGGAAACUUCAGUGGGUCUGUUGGUCCAGCCAACCCACCGAUAGUUAGGCAAGAUAACCAUGAAGGAAGGAAUGAUGGAAUGGGAUGCAAGUACAAGGACUUUUUGACUUGCAAACCAUCGACCUUCAAUGGAAAGGAGGAUCCGAUUGGGGUUAUGGAUUGGAUCUCCGAAAUGGAGUUAGCCUUUAUGACAUGUGGCUGCAGAGGUAAGUUGCAGACUAUCUAUGCCGUGCGACAAUUCCGAGGUGGAGCCGUUCGUUGGUGGAACACUCUAGGGAAGACCUUAAGCCCUAAUGAGCCACUGCAAUUGUCAUGGGCAGAGUUCUUGGUGCAGUUCAAGCGCAAGUUCUGCUCGGCUCAAAAUCUGUUGGAGUUGGAGAAUAAGUUUUUGACAUUGACGAAGGGUAGCAUGUCAGUUGAUGAAUACACCAAUAACUUCACCGAUAAGAUGGAGUUUGCCUUGCGUAUCGUUCCAGACGAGCUGACAAAGGUGGAUCGGUAUGCGAAGGGACUUCCAUGGGAGUACGAGGUGCCGGUACGUCAGGCACUUACUCUAGAGGCAGCUAUCUGGGCUGCCAAGUCUGUGGAGAACAUGAUCAAGGGGAGAACCACCGUCAAGGUUGAGGUUGGUGAGAAAAGGAAGUUUGAAGGAACAUCUGGUUCCAGUAAGAAGAGCAAAUUUUCGAAAUCUGAUUCGAAAAAGUUUGGAGGAAAAGGAGGCGAAGCAAAGUGGUGUGAUAAGUGUAAGAAAAAGCACUUUGGGAAAUGUAGCGAGGAUGUGACCUGCUACAAGUGUGGAAAGGUUGGACAUUUUGCCAAUGAAUGUCCGAACAACAAAAGGAUGUGUUUUGGUUGUAAUGAAGAGGGGCAUAUUUUGAAAGACUGUCCGAAGAAGAAGGAGGCAGCUAGGCCCAACAUUCCACCAAAGCCGAAGGCGAGAGCCUUCCAGAUGACACUUGAGGCUGCGAAAGAUGAAGCUGAUGUCGCUUCAGGUACCUUUCUCGUAAACGAAUUACCUGCUCAUAUAUUGUUUGAUUCUGGAGCCAACUACUCCUUUAUUUCGCAUGAGUUUGGUAGAAAGCUAGCUUUGCCUGUUGAUAGACUAAAUAAUGCUUUAUUAGUCGAAGUAGCUAGUGGCAAGUUUGUACCUGUUAGCCAUCGUAUGAAAAACGUCUUGAUCGACCUUAAUGGGAAUAAGUUUCUCGAGGAAUUAUUGCCUAUCGAACUAAAUGGUUUCGACAUCGUCUUGGGAAUGGAUUGGCUUAGCGCCAAUGAUGCCGAAAUUUUGUGCAAGAAGAAGAUAGUUAAAGUAAACCCGCCUGGAAAAGAUUCGUUUAUGGUGUAUGGGGACAAACGCAGAGUGAAUUCUGGAAUCAUUUCUCUAAUGAAAGCCAGAAAGUGUUUGACCAAGGGAUGUACAUCAUAUUUAGCAUUCGUGAUUGAUGCUAAGAAAGAAAAGAAGGUGAUGCAGAGCAUUCCAGUGGUGUGUGAUUAUCCGGAAGUAUUUCCCGAGGAUCUUCCUGGAUUACCACCUGAUAGACAAGUGGAGUUCAGAAUAGACUUGUUACCAGGAACCACGCCAAUAGCAAAAGCACCUUAUCGAUUAGCACCGACGGAGAUGAAGGAGCUAAUGAUGCAACUUCAGGAGUUAUUGGACAAAGGUUUCAUUAGACCUAGUUCAUCGCCCUGGGGAGCUCCGGUGUUAUUUGUAAAGAAGAAAGAUGGAAGUAUGAGAAUGUGCAUCGAUUACAGAGAGCUGAACAAGGCAACAAUAAAGAAUAGAUAUCCGUUGCCGAGGAUUGAUGACCUGUUUGAUCAAUUGCAAGGUUCGAGCUAUUUCUCGAAGAUCGAUCUUAGGUCAGGAUAUCAUCAGCUGAAAGUAAGAGAGCAAGAUAUCGAGAAGACUGCAUUCAGAACUAGAUAUGGACACUACGAGUUCUUGGUUAUGUCGUUUGGACUAACCAAUGCUCCAGCAGCGUUCAUGGAUUUGAUGAAUAGGGUUUGUAAUCCUUUCCUUGAUAAAUCCGUGAUAGUGUUCAUAGACGACAUUCUGAUCUACUCGAAAAGCCAGGAGGAGCAUGGCAGACACUUGCGAGAAGUGUUAGAAGUUUUGAAGAAGGAGAAGCUUUAUGCGAAGUUCUCCAAAUGUGAUUUUUGGAUUCGUGAAGUCCAAUUCUUGGGUCACGUGGUCAACCAAGAAGGGAUAAUGGUUGAUCCAGCGAAGAUCGAAGCUGUGACGAAGUGGGAACAACCGAAAAGUCCCACGGAGAUUCGAAGCUUUUUAGGAUUAGCCGGAUAUUACCGAAGGUUUAUCCAAGGCUUUUCUUCGAUUGCUACUCCAUUAACAGCUUUGACCCACAAAGGAGCUACUUAUGCUUGGAGUGAGAAGCAUAAAGAAGCAUUCGAGAAGUUAAAGAAGAAGCUAUGCGAGGCACCGAUACUUUCUCUACCCGAUGGAGUUGAAGACUUCGCUGUUUAUAGCGAUGCGUCUGGUGUUGGAUUGGGUUGUGUUUUGACCCAAAGAGAAAAGGUGAUAGCAUAUGCGUCUCGACAGCUGAAAGAGCAUGAAAAGAAUUACCCGACUCAUGAUUUGGAGUUGGCAGCGGUAGUUUUCGCUCUGAAAAUAUGGAGGCAUUACCUCUAUGGCACGAAGUGCAAACUUUUCACUGAUCAUAAGAGUCUCCAAUACCUCUUUAAUCAGAAAGAAUUGAAUAUGAGGCAACGACGCUGGCUAGAAUUACUUAAAGACUACGACUGCGAGAUACUUUACCACCCCGGUAAAGCUAAUGUUGUUGCUGAUGCUCUCAGUCGGAAGGUCAAUCUUGAAAGGAAGAGGCCAAGAGCGUUGAGAAUUGAAGUUGUCUCGACCAUUGUGGAAAGUAUAAAGAAAGCUCAAGAGGAAGCUUCUGAGAAAAAUGACCGAAAGGAGGAACGUUUGGGUAAAACGUUGGUGUUUGGUACUAACGGUCAUGGACUGAAGGUAUUCCAAGAUCGUAUUUGGGUACCUAAGUCAGGAGGAAUUAGAGAUCUUCUGAUGGAAGAAGCUCACAAGACCAUGUACUCGAUUCAUCCGGGUAGCACUAAAAUGUAUAGGGACCUGAAACCCUACUACUGGUGGCCGACGAUGAAGCUUGAUGUUGCAAAGUAUGUGGCCGAGUGUGUGACUUGUGCGAGAGUCAAGACACAACAUCAGAAACCGUACGGGAGUUUAGAACCUUUGCCUGUGCCUAUGGGUAAGUGGGAAGACAUUGCUAUGGAUUUUGUCACUAAACUGCCCAGAACAAAGAAUGGUCACGACAUGAUUUGGGUGGUCGUUGAUCGAUUCACUAAGAGUGCGCAUUUCAUAGCGGCCAGGGAGAAAUGGUCUAUGGAAAAGCUUGCGAAUUCUUACGUGAAGGAAAUUGUGAGGCUUCACGGUGUUCCGUUAACGAUUGUAUCGGAUCGUGAUAGCCGUUUCACCUCAAGGUUUUGGAAAAGUCUACAAGAGGAAAUGGGUACCAAGUUAUGUUUAAGCACAGCUUACCAUCCGCAGACUGAUGGUCAGAGUGAAAGAACAAUACAAACACUUGAAGAUAUGCUGAGAGCAUGUACCUUGGAAUUCCUAGGUAAUUGGGAUGAACAUUUACCGUUGGUAGAAUUUUCCUAUAAUAAUAGUUUUCACUCGAGCAUUAAGAUGGCACCUUAUCAAGCUUUGUAUGGACAGAAGUGUCGUACGCCGUCUUGUUGGCUUGAGGCUGGGGAAAAGCAGUUUAUGGGACCGGAGAUGGUUCAUCAAACUGCUGAAAAGUUGAAAAUAAUUAGGGAAAGAAUGUUAGCAGCUCAAGAUCGUCAAAAGAGCUAUGCUGACAAGAAGCGAAGACCGAUGACUUUUGAGGUUGGAGAUUCGGUUUUGCUUAAAGUCUCGCCGUGGAAGGGACUUAUAAGAUUUGGUAAAAGGGGAAAGUUGAGUCCAAGGUUUAUUGGACCGUUUAAAGUUCUUCAGAGGAUUGGGAACCAAGCUUACAAGCUCGAAUUACCCGAAGAACUGAAUGGAAUUCACAACACUUUUCAUGUGUGUUAUUUGAGGAAGUUCACGGGAGAAGUUCCCGAUAUAAUUCCAAUUUCUGAAUUGAGAAUUGAUGAGAACAAAAGGUUGAUUGAAGAACCAGAGGCAAUUGUUGACCGAAAGACUAAGAAGUUGCGACGCAAAAUGGUUGGGUUAGUGCUUGUCCGAUGGAAACACACGAAUGGGCCGAAUCUCACCUGGGAGACGGAGAGUGACAUGUUGAGUCGCUAUCCGCAUUUGUUUGUUGAUGUGUGAUUCCGGGGACGGAAUCAUUCUAAGGUGGAGAGAAUUGUAACGCCUGUGUUUCCGGGCUUGCCAUUUUUAGCAAUAUAAUAGUCUAGGUUAACCUUUGUAACCCGUUUUGAAAUAAUAAGAUUGUAUUAUUUGAGUAUUAUGUGUUUUGUGCUUAAUUGCUUAAUUAUGUGGUUUGAUUAAUUAAGAAUAAAAAUAAGCGUCAAAAUUUAAGUGUAAAAUAAACUUAAUAUCUUUGGUUAAUGUUGUAGUAGUUGAAACGAGGUUUCCGAAUAUAUAUAGAACGCCCAAAUCUGACUUCGUAUGAGGAAGUUAUGAUUUAUCGAAGUUCCGGCUUAGCGGUAUACAGCCUGUUAUACUCGAUUUGAGAUCGAGCGGUUGUUAGCCGAAGCAAUCUAAAUGAGAAUCGAAGAUCUCAUUGUUGGUAUCGAAGCGAUAAAAAGUUAGGCGAGAACGGACGUCAAACGAAGAAGUUAUGAAUUUAUAACGAAAGUUUCUGUCGCGGCCUAUUAAAAAUAAUUAAUAAAAAUAAAGUCAAAAUUAGCCGACGGAGUCUAAACGAAAGUCGUAGAGCGUGGUCUCACCUUCGCGUGGAUAUAAAGAACGUCGAAAACGGAGUUCGUAUGAAGAAGUUAUGAAUUUCCGAAGUUUAUUAAUCAUUUUAUAUUUUUAUUUAAUUCAAAAUCGGAGGCAUUAUCCGAAGCCGUGUCACCGGUGUAAUCCGGAGUACGCCCCGCGUACGAGGUUACGCUAUCGCGUAACUCCGAUAGUGUCGACACUUCGGAUGACGCAUGCAAUGACGAUUUCGGACGCGUACGCGCUGCGUACGCCUGUACGCCCCGCGUACUCCGAGGUUCCAGCCUCUAUAUAAAGGAUCCGAAGGCAGCCUCAUUUCUUGUUCAUUUUCUUCUCUUCUCUCUAGUCUUUUGCAUCGUUUUUCGUGCCGAAGCUACCCCGAAGCCCCGGUAUCAUACUCUAGCCCCGAGGCAAGUCCCGAGAUCCCGAAGAUCCCGAGAAGCGCGGUUCCCGAGUCGAAGCUCUGCCCGCGAGAAGUUCGAUUUUCGAGGAGAUCUUCCAGAUCUGCUGUGGAUUACUACUUCUAUAAGCCGUAGUGCUGUCGGAUCGUCUUCUGAUCAAGUGAGUGUGUAGUUAUUUCUUCUAAUACAAUAAUACGAAGUAUUUUAUAUAAAAAUACGUGCUAUGUGUAUAUAUUUGGUUGUGUUAUGUGUGAAUGAGUAUUCACUCUCUUCUAUCUUAUAGAUCUGCUUAUUUCUUUAUGAGAUAUGUGUUAUGUGUGUGUGCCUCAUCUGUUAUGUGACAUAUGUGUUGAUUAAAGCAUGCUAUACAGGUUUUCUUUAAACUACGUAUGAAAAUAUAUAUUUUUAUCUACUAAUAUGUUGGGUAGAACAUGGGUAGAUAGUUGGUGUGUAAUAAACAGAUGAGAGGCCUCGAUGUUGUUGUUGUUGUUGAUCUAGUUAUUCAGCGGAGUAUGGAUAACGACCACGGACUCUUUCUAGACAGUCCAGUGGAACGCUAGCAGGUUCAUAACCUGUAGGUGUUGUGAACGAUGUGUUCACCGGUGUACUCUAUCCCCCUCAUGGUUGCCUUUAGGAUAUCUAUUGUUGAGGAAACCCCUUCGCAGUGAUGUCCGUCCCGAUGAAAAUCCUAGAUUAGGUCCCUUGAGAUAGUUGUUUUAGGGACGUAAAGUGAGGAUAACGGGAAUGGGUAAUCGGGAUAGUGAUUGGUUGGUGAAAUUAAAUAUAACUUAUUUAUUGUGGGUUGAAAACCCUAUAUGCUCACCAGGCUCCCAAGCCUGACCCACUCAGUUUUAUUUGUAUUACAGGAAGUGGCACAAGGGCGUAAGAUGGAUGGAUCAUCUUGUUGUUUUGUUUACAAGUCUGUAUAUGUAUAUAUUUGUUGAAUGACUUGUAAUGUUUAUCGUUUAUGCUUUAUGGUCUGUAUCGGAACAUGACAUCCCGAGUUUUGAUUAUAUAAUGAAAUGCAUCUCUUGAUGAAAUGCUUUGAUAAAUAUUAUUUUAUCAUGUUUUGUUUUGGGAACAAAUUCCGCAACUCUUUCAAAUCAAAAGGAUUUACUCUGAAAAUAUUUAAAAGCAUAAAUGAAAAUCGGUCUUUUCUGGCCGAGAUUUUGGGGAUGUCACAGUUGGUAUCAGAGCAUUAGUUUAAGCGAACUAGGAAUUUGUAGGAUUUCUAGACUUAAACUUAGAAUGCUAAGUGGAAUUUUGAGAUGUGUGUCUGUUGGAUUUUAGACACGAGCACUAGUUUAUUUUAGGAAAGUUGCCUAAAAUGCUUUAUGUGCUAAAUGUUAUAUGUUGCCAUAUAUGAUAUUAUUUGUUCGGAUCUAUGGUCUGUUGCCGACCGGAUCUAGAAACCUUAUGUGUGUAGGAUUCUAAGCGUAUGUCUACGAUAUUAGAACUAGCAUGUAAACGUUUCGGAGUGAUAAGGAUGAUUUGAAUAUCUAUCGUGAAU
rnacentral:lncRNA from 1 species